CKUCUUGUUKUAUAAGAAGUYKURCCUSCUCCCCGAUUUUUGAAGAGCCGCGGUAUUUUGACCGYGCAAAGGUAGCAUAGUCAUUAGUUUUUUAAUUGGGAACUGGAAUGAAUGGUUUGACGAAAUAAUAACUGUCUUAUAAUUAAUUAUUGAAUUUUACUUUUAAGUUAAAAGGCUUAAAUUAUAAUAAGGGACGAGAAGACCCUAUAGAUUUUAAUAAUUUUAGUUUURAUAUAAUUGUUGAUGAAUUUUAUURUUAUAAUUAGUAUUAUUUUGUUGGGGUGAUGAGNGAAUAAUUUAACUUCUCUUGUAUAAACUUUGUUGAUUGGAUUAAGGAUCCUUUAUUAUGGAAUUAAGAUUAAAAUACCUUAGGGAUAACAGCGUUAUUUUAUUUGAGAGUUCUUAUCGACAAUAAAGAUUGCGACCUCGAUGUUGGAUUAAAAUUUAUUUUUAAUGAAGAAGUUAAUUUAAUUUUGGUCUGUWC
rnacentral:rRNA from 1 species